AGUUCUUAUCUAGAGAAGUGUUACCUGUGCAGGACCGUGUACAAGUCUCCUGGAAUGGAGCAUCAUAGAGGGUGAGAAUCCCGUCUUUGACAUGGACUACCUGUACAUUAUGGUGCGCUCUCAAAGAGUCGAGUUGUUUGGGAAUGCAGCUCAAAAUGGGUGGUAAAUGCCAUCUAAAGCUAAAUAUUGGCGAGAGACCGAUAGCGAACAAGUACCGUGAGGGAAAGAUGAAAAGAACUUUGGAAAGAGAGUUAAACAGUACGUGAAAUUGCUGAAAGGGAAACGCUUGAAGUCAGUCGCGUCGGCUAGAAAUCAGCCUUGCUCUUGCUUGGUGUACUUUCUGGUUUGACGGGUCAGCAUCAAUUUUGACCAUUGGAUAAAGUCUGUUGGGAAUGUGGCAUCUUAGGAUGUGUUAUAGCCCAUCGUCGCAUACAGUGGUUGGGAUUGAGGAACUCAGCACGCCGCAAGGCCGGGUUUCGACCACGUUCGUGCUUAGGAUGCUGGCAUAAUGGCUUUAAUCGACCCGUCUUGAAACACGGACCAAGGAGUCUAACAUGCCUGCGAGUGUUUGGGUGGAAAACCCAUGCGCGUAAUGAAAGUGAAAGUUGAGAUCCCCCUCAGAAAGGGAGCAUUGACGCCCGGACCAGACCUUCUGUGACGGAUCCGCGGUAGAGCAUGCAUGUUGGGACCCGAAAGAUGGUGAACUAUGCCUGAAUAGGGUGAAGCCAGAGGAAACUUUGGUGGAGGCUCGUAGCGAUUUGAGUGCAAAUCGAUCGUCAAAUUUGGGUAUAGGGGCGAAAGACUAAUCGAACCAUCUAGUAGCUGGUUCCUGCGAAGUUUCCCUCAGGAUAGCAGAAACUCAUUAUCAGAUUUAUGUGGUAAAGCGAAUGAUUAGAGGCCUUGGGGUUGAAACAACCUUAACCUAUUCUCAAACUUUAAAUAUGUAAGAACGAGCCGUCUCUUGACUGGACCGCUCGACGAUUGAGAGUUUCUAGUGGGCCAUUUUUGGUAAGCAGAACUGGCGAUGCGGGAUGAACCGAACGCGAGGUUAAGGUGCCGGAAUUCACGCUCAUCAGACACCACAAAAGGUGUUAGUUCAUCUAGACAGCAGGACGGUGGCCAUGGAAGUGGGAAUCCGCUAAGGAGUAGUAACAACUCACCUGCCG
rnacentral:rRNA from 1 species